GGUGUUUCACAAUAGAAAUCAUUUACCAGAGUCCAGAGUUUGUUCUCAUAAUCUCAUCAUCAUCGAGUUCAAUCCCCUCUGAUUCAAUAGAAGAAGAAGUCGAAGCAGUUUUAUACGAGACUGGAGUCUGCGAGAUUCAGAUCGGUGGAAAGAAGAGCGUUUCGUAUCGAAGAUCGUUAGGAUACGAGAAAGAAGAGGAGAGAUUGAAGAUUUUGGUCGAACAGGUUGCUGGGUUUUCGAAGAGAGUGACAGUGUUAGAAAAACUGAGAACAAAACUGCAGCUGACAUCAAACCUAUCCAGUACGAACUUUGAAGCACCCAAGUGGCCAAGUAUGUGCAACAUAAAAAAAGUUAUGCUGGAAGAACAUAGGAUGGUUUCAAACAGGCUCUAGAGGUCGGUGAAAAAGUUCACACAGUGGAACAUUCUAAGGAUUUACCCCAAAGAAACUUAAAGUUGCCUCCUCAAAUUACCAACCACAUGUUGGAUGGAUGCAUGGAGCUCAAAUGGCUGUGUCUAAUGUGCAGGGAUGUGAAAGAUCACUAUGGUUGAUGCAUGGGAUGUUUACAGCCAAUGAUGAGGCCCUGCCUUUUUUAUGCACAAGGGCUUAAAUGAUGAGGUUUUUUAUCCUAAAAAGACCUUGAUAGUGACAAAGACAUUGAAGGUAAAAGCAUUUAUGGCUAAUGGAUGUCACUUGGAUUUUAAUCAACCCCCUUGAUUCAUUCUCCCCACAGACUUCUACACAAAAGUUAGUAAGUAUGUUGCAGAGCUCUGAUCACGUCAUAUGCAGCUGGUUGUUUAAUAGGUAACACAAUCCAUCUUUACAUUUCAAUGCCUUAUUGAUUAAUGUUUGUGCUUACUCCAUACAAAACCAUUUCAAUGAUUUCAAUUUACAGAACCAAAUAAUCACUCUUUCUUAUUGAUUGACAUUAUUACUUAUGUUUUCCAAUUACAACAGCUCCUGAAAUUUUGGAGCACUUAUCAUUUGUCGCAAAUGACGAAUCGGACUUUGUACAUAGACACCUACUGUUGUUAGGAUAUUUAACUUUGAAAUCUAGAUAACUUACCAGAAUUUUGAACAUGUAAAACAAUAUAUAAUAUUUAAUGUAGCAAUGUAAUAUAACAAUGUUUCUAAAUUCAGUAGCAUCGAAUCAAACAAUAUUUGCUUAUAUU
rnacentral:lncRNA from 1 species